rnacentral:rRNA from 1 species
UACGUAGGGUGCAAGCGUUAAUCGGAAUUACUGGGCGUAAAGCGUGCGCAGGCGGUUUGUUAAGUCAGAUGUGAAAUCCCCGGGCUCAACCUGGGCAUGGCAUUUGAGACUGGCAGGCUAGAGUGUGUCAGAGGGGGGUAGAAUUCCACGUGUAGCAGUGAAAUGCGUAGAGAUGUGGAGGAACACCGAUGGCGAAGGCAGCCCCCUGGGAUAACACUGACGCUCAUGCACGAAAGCGUGGGGAGCAAACAGG